UCUCUGCGUUAAAGGGAGGACUCAAACGCCCAUCCGUCCUUCCCCGCCUUCCUUCAGGACUAUAUAAGUCCCCUCACCUCGUCCCAAUAGUUUGGGUCUUUACUAAUAUACUGAGUGUUUAAUCUGGUCCUCCAGUGAUGCUAGAGACGGUUGUAAAGUUGAUAAGAAGUUGAUUUAAGAGAGAAGCUGCAGGAAACCGAUCAACUUGAAAGGGCUGUUUGAAAGGGUGCAUCUGGCCUGGCCCUGAAUUCAGAGGUGGCAACACCUCCGCAGAGGAGUCUGGAGCAGAGAUGAAGAUGAAGAUGAGAAGGAGGAGGAGGAGGAAGAAAAAAAAAAAAAAAAAACAUGCUGCAGGGAUCAUUGUGCUGAAGGAUUACGAGGGGCAGGAAGAGGAUUUCAGCUGACUGUUUUCAUUUUUCUGCUCCUCCGCUUCCACGUCUCGGAGUUGAGCACCUGACUGACGGACACCCAGCCUUUACCUGAAUGGAUCUGAUACAUUAUUACCUGGUUGACACCUGAGAGGAUUGCUUUCAUGGAUUAUUGCAGACCAGCUCCUGGUUUACAGUGAAUGGACUGACGUCUCCUCCUGCAGCACAGACACCGGUGAGUUGUGGCGAUGUGCAUCACAGACUAUAAGUUUUGUUUCCUCCUGCUUCCUGCACACACUCUCUCAACCUACUCCCCUUUAUCUAUGUCACUGUGUACAACUCAGUCUCAGCUCUACUCCUUAUGUAUUUGUAACUUAUAUUGCUUAAAGUGUCGGACAUGCCUUAAACCUAAAAGCAUCAAUGAAAUUCAUACAAUCCAUUUUAAGGUUCUGGGGGCUGUGUUUAACUUUAUGUAUUUUGCUGGUUGUUUGGCUUAAGUCAGUGUUUGUGCAACAGGAGAGUUGGUUACAGCUGGAGGUGGGAUUUUUGUUUCCUACAGUUAAACAACUAUAUGCACGGGAUCGGAUUUGUUUCGAACUUGGUAAAUGGUGCUUCUUUUUUCACAUCGUCUGUAAAAUACUUGGAUAACGGCGUUCAGUCAGUCCUUAGUCUCAGCAUCCAGCACAUUGAGCAUCUGGUUGAAAUGUUUACUGAGUUCUUUUGCUUUCAAGUGUGGCUCAACAUCAUAAAACAGUGUCUCGUGAAUUGUUGUUCCAUACGUGAACAGAUGUAAAAGAACAAUAAAAAAUAAUCUGAAAACUACUUGAAAAGUUGUCAGGUGCGGCUUGCACACAGCGAA